GCACCAGCCUUUGGCAACAGAUAAACACCAGAACUGGAGUUUUGACAAUGUUUGUGCUGGAAGCAAGCUUCUGUUACUCUGGUUUACGUACUACUGAUCUUUGCUUUUCUUUUGUGGCUGGAACAUAAAGUUCACGAAUUGACUUGAAAAUCAGUAUUAAGAACAGAAGACCCAAGAGUCAUGAUAAAGCAUGGAACAUAACAUUGGAGGUCUAAUUCUAGGACAGGGAGAAGUGUGUUUCACUCUGUCAGCCUUUGCUGUAGUGGAAAAACUGACAACUCUGAGGCUUAGAGAAAUGUCUUCAAGGUCCCAGUCUACGGAGUCUCCAAAACUCAAGAGCUGCCAUCAAGAGCAGAUACCUCAGGAGACAAAU